UGAGCCCGCGGCCUAUCAGCUUGUUGGUGGGGUAAUGGCCUACCAAGGCGACGACGGGUAGCCGGCCUGAGAGGGCGACCGGCCACACUGGGACUGAGACACGGCCCAGACUCCUACGGGAGGCAGCAGUGGGGAAUAUUGCACAAUGGGCGAAAGCCUGAUGCAGCGACGCCGCGUGAGGGAUGACGGCCUUCGGGUUGUAAACCUCUUUCAGCAGGGAAGAAGCGAAAGUGACGGUACCUGCAGAAGAAGCGCCGGCUAACUACGUGCCAGCAGCCGCGGCCGA
rnacentral:rRNA from 1 species